UACAGAGGGUGCAAGCGUUGUUCGGAAUUAUUGGGCGUAAAGGGCGCGUAGGCGGUGCGGUAAGUCUGUAGUGAAAUCUCUGGGCUCAACUCAGAGUCUGCUGCAGAAACUGCCGUGCUUGAGUGUGGGAGAGGUGAGUGGAAUUCCCGGUGUAGCGGUGAAAUGCGUAGAGAUCAGGAAGAACAUCGGUGGCGAAGGCGCUCUGCUGGACCAUAACUGACACUCAGGGACGAAAGCUAGGGGAGCGAAUGGG
rnacentral:rRNA from 1 species